CGUGCCCCCUAGCUUCUCUUAAUUUAAAUAUAUAGCAAUCCAUACGUGGGCAAGAUGGAAGGCCAAACUCCCUGCUAUUUCCACAAGAAAGAUUUUGCAUUUUCCAGUAGAAAUGAGCCAGACAGACAUCAACAUAAACCCCAGCCCAGCAGCUCAGCACAUCCUGCUGGCUGCGUUUCCCUUCCACAAGCUUAAAAAGCUUUGAAAGUGGGAAACAACCCCCACUGGGUUUCUAGGCGAAGCUCAUCAGCCCUAAAGGCUUCUCCUGCCUUGCUUGUGAAGUGCUCAAAAGCUCACACAGACCAUGCACACCUGGAAAUGCAAAGACCAACGUAACCUAAAUAAUGAAUCUCCUUAGCCCCACAUCUGCGUGCUGCCAGAGCUCUGCAGGGACCCAGCCCUAUGAUGGAACAGGCCCUUAGCACCUUCCCUAGAGGUGGUCAGUGGAUGAAAAAGGUGAAUAAGGUUGAACAAGAUUUGUUUUUUUACUCAGCCUUCUCUUACCAGGCAUAUCGGUCAUUCAGUAAUUUAUGCAGUGUGUCCCAUGGUCAUUAUUCUUCUCCCUGCCGUUCUCUGUUGACAACAGGGAUCAGAGGAGAGAGCUUUAGACCCAGCAUCACACGCACUGUUACAGGUCAUCACUGCAAGCUUUCCCUCAGGAGUUCAAGUGGCAUCCUUUUAACUUCAAAACUACAGUCAAUGGCCAAAGUUUACCCAACAAAACUUGCGAGCUCUGGGCACCCAAAGCUGUUCUCCAAGCAGUUACUCUGGGUGGAGUAUCUCCCCCUGGGGGAGAAUCAGGAGUUACAGUGUGUCAGUUUUGAAGCUUGUAAUUGUAGCUGGGGGAGAAUCCAAGUUUGUGGCUAUUCAGGUGUCACAUGGCCUUUGCUACCAACCCACUGAUCUUUUGGGUAAGUUUGCCAGAUCCAUGAGCACGCACAUGCUGUUGCAAGGUAAUUGCAAAGCUUGAGGCAGCAAGAAAUUCCAAUAAUUCAUGGUUCAGCUCCCAGUUGCCUCCAUCAGACAGAAACAGCUAUCUCAUAGGCAUAAUUUAUUUGCAAGCUUUUCUAGCAUCAAAUGUAUUUCUAGUUAAGGCAAGCCUUAAUGCAAGUUAGUCCAGAUUUAAGCUUACAACAGAAUCCCCAUAGCUCAUUCCUCUGAGGCAGGGCUGUGUCGCUUUGACCACAAAGUUAGGCAGUCUCAGCAGGACUGUGUUCACUUCCUUUUGUUUUUGCAAGAAAUUAACGAAAUUUCUUUGCAGAUAGAGGUUUGAGAAUAAGUCUUACGGGGAGCGGCUGAGUGGGACUGUUCAGUCUGGAGAAUAAGAGGCCCAAGGGAGAUUUUAUUGCUUUCUACAACUCCCUAAAAGGAGGUUGUAGUGAGGUCUUCUUCCAGGUAACUAGUGACAGGACAAAAGGUCAUGGCUUUAAGUUGUGUCAGGGGAGGUUCGAGUUGGAUAUCAGGAAAAAAAUUCUUAGAAAGUAGCAAGGAAUUGGAACAGACUGCACAGGGCAGGGAAGUGGUAGAGUCACCGUCCCUGGAGGUGUUCAAGAGAAGGGCAGAUGUCAAACUGAGUGCAGUGAUUUGGUGGUGUGGUAGUGAUAGGUUGAUGGUUGGACUAGAUGAUCUUAGUGGUCUUUCCAACCUUAAUGAUUCUAUGAUAAUGGAAGCGUAGUCACUCAUUAGAUUCUACCUAAUGGCUUUCUUUGAAAAGGCUGACAAGAUGAGUUUAUUUUGAGGGUGACGAACACUGACAUCUUGCUCAUAUAGCUGUCAAAUUCAGAGCUACAAUUUCCACCUUAGCUAUAUAGAUAAUACGUACAGCUCCAGUGGAAAUAUGGUAAUGCUAUAAGAAAAAGAGCUGUAUCUGGACUAAAAGCCUGUGUUUUCUUCAACCUCUUUAUUUUAUCUUCGUCUGGCAUCAUUCAGAUCAGUUGGACCAAAAUAUUUUAACAGCAUGUUUUGUGGCAAUAGCAUACAAUCACCUUGAUAUAUACUUUUCACUCAAGAGGCUGAGGAAACAUUAACCCUUCUGCAACUUGGGGUUGUGUCUUUUACUACCAAAGCUGGCACUGACUUUGCUGUAUGCAUUAAUGACCCAAUCCUUUUGUCUAGAAGUCUAACAAAGUUUGAGGUUACUUUGCUGUGUUUUACUAAAUACUUUCUGAUUAAGCUGACCCUUGCAUACUUGCACUGAAAGUUUUAGCUGGACUAAAAAUGCUUCUGCGUAUCAGAGCUGCCUGCAGCAGCAUGGAAUUCACAGAAUUAUUGGUUAGCAAAGCUCACAUUCGCUGAUUUAAUCUGGAUCCAGGGCUUAUUUGCUCUUUCUGUAAUCAAGUGAGAAAGUGUCAGAUGUUCUCACAAGAUCUCAGUUUUUCUCAACUCUCAAAUCCAAUAAGAGCUUGAUGGUUUCAAGCCAUGAAGUUUGGAAAGACGUGUCUAAAGUAAAAAAAGUGAACCAAACGAGUUGAAAUGGUUGGAAAGCUUGUUGAAACGUGUGGUUCUGAGGUAUCAAACCUAUUUUUCUUCCCACUCAUUUUACAAGCUUCUAGCCAAGACUAUAGGCCAGAAGCCUCUAAAGGAGGCCAUAAUAGAGACAAGCAGACUUUAUUAGCACUGUGGAUUGAAGCUGUCACCUGAGGCACUUCCUAGCAAAGAUUCUCAAGCCAAGAGCUCUGCUCCAGAUGAAGUGCUUCUGACUUUUUGUUAAUUAACAAAUUAGCUGGGAGCAGAUCUAUUCCCAGGACUGUGUAGUAUUUCCAGCUCCCACAUGCUUGCAUGGAAACCUCAGCUUCAUCUUCAUCAGCUCAGGUCUGAUGGGGCUGCCUGUCCAAGGAGCUGAUUCCUCAGGAAUCAGCGAGUUCAAGACCAGUGCAAGAAAUUUCUGUGAGAAGGUCUGUAGGAGGUGAAAGACUUCCACAUUUGUUAAGUAGCUUUGCAGUGAGCAGUGUGUUUCCCAAUUAAACCCAUUUUGCAGUCUCCACAGGCUUUCAGACAAGGAAAAAACCUUUCCCUCCCAGCUUAUUCUCCCUGACCAAAUCUGAUGCUGGCACAUCAUUCCACAGUGCCUCCUCUCAUCUUUCUUCAUGUGUUCUUGUGAGCUUAAAGCUUGUAAGUCAUAAGACUUUUCUCAGUUAACUAGUUUGGUCAUUGAAUCUGACCACCUGGAUCUGAUGGGGACCUAAUCUUCUAUUGGGCCUUAUCUUCCUUCAUCAUCACUUCUUGGCCUAAACUGCACAGAUCUGUCCCUGCAUACUCACUCGUAGGAGGUAGCUCCAUGGAGUGAAAGAUUUUCAUGGUGACAGGGAGCUUUUCCUACUGUUAGAAACAGCCUUGUCCAUCCUUCCUCCUUCCUCCUACCAGCACUGAUGUGGGAAUGAAGUUUCUGGCACUGCUGCUGAACUGUAGAUUGACUUCAGGUAAAUCGUCUCACAUUAUUUCUUAUCUUUCGUCUAAUCUGCUGGGAUUUUCAGAGUCUUUUGGGGCAAGGAUUGUGAUAUGUCUGGGCAUAUUGAGCUUCAUUAUCACCGUGUAGUUCAAAGCCAGGUCAGAUUCAGCACUUUUUCCAAACUGUGGGAUGGUAAGAUCCAGACUCUUGCAAUUAAAUCAAAUCAAGAAUUUAAGCAUGCCUACAGACAUGAUAUUCUCAGGGGAGCCUUCUUAACCUCCAGUACUACAUACAGGAGUCUUGGGUUGUUCUUUUUCGUUCUUUGAUUGUGUGUGCCUCCACCAUGCACUAAGAAAAAUUGAAAUGAAGCCAUUGUUUUUAUGUAUUCACUCCAUCCUCUCUUCCCUUUUCUUGUUGGCAGCUCCAUCCAUCAGCCUCCCACAAUGGUGAAACUGUUGUUGAGACCUCCAGUGAAUUUGCUCUGUCAAAGAGCAGAAGCCAUGAAAACAGGAGGAAAAAAUAACAGUUUAACAUUGACCACAGCAGGGAUGGAAGUACUGUGCAUGAAGCAUUUUUUGAGGCAGCUUGCUGAAGGUUUUUACUUUCUUGGAAAGAAGGAGCGGGCUGCUUUCAGGCAGGGAACAUGCCUUGGUGCUUCAUGUGAUCUUUCUGCAUCGACCCAAAAAUGAGCAGAAGGCCGGCACUGCAUCCACAUUUCAGGAAGAGGCAUCAGACCUGGCCCAUUGACUUGUGUUGGGAUGAACUCUGCAUUUUCAGCUGUUCUGAGAAGCAUGUAACUUGGAAGCAACUUUUGGGGAGAGGGCUGCAAUUAGUGCUGUGUGGAGCUGAAGAGACUUCUUGAAACACGUGGGUUUAUUUGACAUGUGAAGCAAAACAUGAGAGGAAAACAGCAAGCAGCUGAUAAGCAUCUGUAAUUUAAACAUCAGACUUGUUUGAUGGACUGUGCUCCCCAAUGACAGGAGCAGAACAACCCCAAUCUACGUGCUUUAAUUAAUGCAGAUAAUUAAUACCUCCGAUCUGGAGGCACAGCCUGCUCUCAGUAGGCAUCCCCCAGUAGGACUUUUUCUUGGAAGUGCUUUCCCCAAGCCUGCUGUGUUCAUCUGAGCCCUGUGACCAUAUGUUGCAUUGGCUUUUGUCAGGAGACCCAGCUGUGCAGCCUUUCAUUUGUCACAGACUGCCUUUAGCUUCUUCAGCUUCGGCAUCUAAGCAGCCUGAGAGCUUGCUGCUGCAGGAACAACUCAGUAAACAGAACUAUUUAUCCCCAGUGGUGUUGUAGCGCUGGCACUGCUGCCUAGAGAGGAGGAUGGUACCCCAUCCCUAGAGGCUCCAAAAGCCACGGAUGGGGCCCUGGGCAACCUGAGCUGGUGGUGGGCACCUAGCCUGAGGCAAGGGUUGGGGCUGGAUGGGCUUUAAGGUCCUCUCCAACCUAAGCCAUUCUACGUCUUUCCCUCUGUCACAGGUGAAAGCUCACUCCAUUGGUGGAAAAUGAACAUCAGGAGUAAGAUGCUUCAUUUCAGCUUGUUACCAUUGCAUUAAUUGAAAUGCUCCGCUGAUUUUUUUUUUUAAUCUUUCUUCCAGAACACCUUCAGAGCUUCAUCUGCCUUCAAAAUGGCCAUUGAGAACAAUUUUCAUAUGUCGGCUUUGGAUAAAUUAUAAGCCCCACUUAAACCCAUUCAGUAAUCAUCUGAAUAAUGGUGCAGUGAUUACACAUUUCUCUUUAUUCUCCAGUGUCAGUGUUGAGCAUUGUUAAUCUUUUUAACAGCCUGAAAUUACAGAUAGCCACCAGAAAAUUUUAUUUAGACCAUCUUGGGGCAUAUUUUGAUUAUUGGGGAAAAAAAAAAAGAAAAAGAAAGAACUGUAUUGGAGCUGCCAAACUCUUCAGAAGAUCUGUUCCCAUGAGAUUUCCCAACUUUUUGGUCCAGGUUCAGUUCUCAGUUCUUUUCCAUAUUUUCACUUAGGUAACAAGCACUGGAAAACAGUCCACUGGGAAAUCGUGUGAGAGUGGGUUCAUGUGACAGAUCUUUCUGCAACUUGUCAUGCCACGAAUAGCAGAGCAACAGCCUUUCAGCACUCAACCAUGUCACUGCCUGCAUCACUUUGAUGGAACUGGGGUGAGUGCCUGCUUGUGGAAACAAGGAAAAUGUUAACCAGCUUUUGUUUUCUCAGGAAAAAGGUUGGUUCGUGCUUCAUUGAGAGUUUGCAUAGCGUCUUAAUUUAAUUGUCCUUCUGUUACUGCAGUUCCUGCUCUUGUUGCUCUGUGCUGACAUGUCGGGUUUGCAUUCAUCACUGCUUAGAAGACCAUGUUGUAAACAUUCUCCCUUUACAUUAAGCACUGGGCAAAGGUAUAUGAAAAUUCAGCAGCUUCAAAACUGUGACAUUUGCAGUCUAAAGAUGUGAAUGAGAGGAGGGGAGGCAGAAAAGAAAGGAUCGUCCUGCUCACAAGUUAUGUAGUGGUGUUGCUCAAAAUAGCACCCCUUGACUCAUGAAUCAAUGGUUAUCUUCAGAGUUAAAUGCCUUUGAGUCACGUGCUGUUCCUACAGCAGGUUGUUCCAAAUACAAGACCAGGCAAGCUUCUUGUUUAUGGUAUUUUCCUGGUGUGGAAUCUGUCACCCUGUAGUCACUGGGGAUGACUGAGUGUAAGGUGAUAAAACUGCCCUCUGCGUGCAACUCAGAUGCAGUGCACACAACCUAUGGGCUCAGGCUGGGACUCCCCAUAGUUUCUUCCCAGCAGAAAAUACUUGUGGUGUCAUUUGGAAAAGUACAUUUCUUCUCCUUUACCCAGCUGUAUCAAAGACUACAGACAUAGGCAAUGAAAAUCUCAGGACACCUGCACCAUGCCUUAGCUCAGCUCUUCCAUCUUCCUGUUGCUGCCUGUCCAUGUUUAAACUAUGCCCACUGACCAGGUUUGAAUCUGGAUUGGAUGCUUGCUGCAUCACAUAGUUUGUGCUGGAUGCAGCCAUUCUGUCCCGAGAGGCAAAGUGCAAAUCUGGACACUUGCCUGUGUCUCAGUUUCUUUGGCUGGCAAUUCCCUUGGCUCCUGGCUGACAGAAGUCAGUUUGUGAGCCAACAAGUUGUCAAGUUUGAGAAGAGGAGAUUCAAUAUGGGCUUGAAACCCAAGAGGGUAUGACAGUAUAGCUAUGGGAUGUCUCACCACUUCCCUCUGCCUUCCAGAGCAUAGAAAUCAUGGUUAUGCCUGAGCAGAACAGAUCUGAUCCUGCAACUAACUUCACAUCACCGUGAAAUUUCCUCUCAUCAUACACAGCUGCUCACAGCUGUCCCAGUGUGGUUAUAUACAGCUUCAUUUUUAUUGCUUUGGGGAAAACUUGGGCUUUCAGACCCUAACAAGCUAUUUGCUUCCCCUUCUCUGUCUCUUCCCACAGCUGACCUCCAUGUCCAGCCGUGCAGGCAUUUUCUGGUUGCAGUGCCCCUAAGCAAUGCCAGCAGGUGCUGUUUCAGCCUCUCCUGCUGCUCUGUAAUUAACAGCCCCAAAUAUGGAGCAGUGGCUGGCCCUGUGACAUUUUUUGCUAAGGCUUUUAUUAAUUUGACACUAGUUUUCAUAGCAACUCACCAGGGAGCUGUAACAAACAUUCAGCUGUACCUGGCAUCAGCUGGUGGGUUUACCUGCUCCAAAGGCUGUACUAAGUGCCCGAGGCGAGCUGAGGUCUGAAUCCUGGGAAACAGUGCAACAGCUGGAUGAAAAAGCUGGAGGAUUGAAGUGGAAAUGUCACAAAUGAAAAGGAUUUGUGUCAUCUUGGGCUCUGUUGUCAUGGUCUAUCAAAACUCCUACAAGCACUGGGAAGACUUGUCGCAUCUUUGUGCUCAGUUGUACUGAGUUAUAGAAUUGUUUGAAACGGAAGGGACUUUUAAAAAUCAUCUAGUCCAAAUGCCCUGGAAUGAACAUGGGCAUCAACAACUGGACCAGAUUUUUUUCCUCUUCUGAAGUAAGCUUUUCUAUUGUCUCAGUGAAAAACUGUUCUGAGUGCCCUUGUGAUCCCUUCAUCCUGCUGUGCCCAUUUCUGGCGUGAACAGACCCUCACAUGGAAAUGUGUGAACUCCUCAAGUUGUUUUUGCUUGGUCAGACACUAUGAUAAUGGCUAUAGCAUACAAGUUUAGUAUUACUUUUUAUGUGUAGGCUUAGACUCUUGGUUUCAUAUGAUAUUAUGCCUUGUCUUGCAAUUUGGUGGCAGUGCUCAUCUCAUGUAAAAUCUGUCUUGAUGAGGAAAAUCCUUCUUUUAAAAAAAUUGAAAUACUUUAUUGGAAUACUUUUGCAUUUACAGGUUGUAUUUUUACCCCAAACUGCAGCCAGGAUCUACUCCAAUUAAAGUACUCAAUCCUCCCCAGAUUGAAUUCUCGCCCCUAGAUAAUUUGCAGCCUCUUCCAUGUUUUCUCGCUUUGUCGUCCCAUUUGCAAGCACUUCCCUCAUCUGUUUCCAUUUCUGUGUGGAACACAAAGGCCUAUCUAUUGUUUCCUUGUUUAAUUGUUAGCCACCUUUGUCUGACGUAACUGGAAACUAUCACAGACGUCACUUUGUUUCCUGCCAGAAAUCGGGCUGCCUCCUACCUGUCUUUGCUGCCUUGCCUGCAGAUACCAAAAGAAAUGCCAUUUAAAUCCUUUAUAGCUGCUGGUUUUCUGGAAAUUAUUAGUCCAGAGGGGACAUUUAGGAACCCCAGAGUUCCUUUCCAGACAGUUCCUGACAGGUCUCCUUGGACAGUCAAUGGCACGUGUUGCUAUGCUGUUAUUCAACAUGAAGGCAUCCUUCAGUGCUACCUGGAGGUUCAGAGUUGUACAGUAUGAGGCUCUGUCCGCCAGUCGAUAUUGUAUAGCAGUCACCAAUUUAUUCCACACCUUCCUUGGAUGGCUCAUUUCUCCCACCCACCUUCUCAAGUUGGCUUUAUGAUACUGAUUGCAGUAUCCAUGUUUUCAGCUUUUCUUGGUUAGUACGUUGGUUCUUUGCCUGGAGAUUUCUCUCCCAAGCGAAAAUAAAUUCCUUUAGCCUCAGGACUUUGCUCAGUGGUGUUCAUCCUCUGGUUCUUGAAUAUAACCCUAAUGGUUUAUGAAAAAAAGAAAAAAAAAAACAGUGAUAGAAUGAGAGGUAAUGGCCUUAAGAUGCACCAGGGAAGGUUCAGAUUCGAUAUUAGGAAAAAUUUCUUUUCAGAAAGA